UUUGUGGAGGCAAAGCUCUGUGGAAGGUCCCAAAAAGCACAGCAGCUUUUGUAACAACAAAAUGGAAGAUGUUAGGACAACCAGGAAUCUUCCUGGAGAUGACUGCUUGUCUAGACUAGGGGAAACUUGCAGAAGGCCAACCGUCACUGACAAAUCCUCAGAGACUAAUGAAAUGUAUGCUUGGAGUUUGAAAUAAUCCACUAAAGGACUCUCUCAAUUUGAUGAUUUGGUUAAGAGGCAAGAUUGGAUGGUUUGGCCUCAUUUCUAAGUAAAUUGUCUGAAAGAAAUUAGGCAUCAUGACAUCCAACCUGACAGAGCUACAGAGGUCCGCACAGAAAAAUCUCCAAAUCCAGUUCCUUCUGCUGACGUUCAAAGUCUUCUUUGCCCUGUGGAGGAAGACGAGCAGAUGAGGAGAGGCACUCAAAGAGGGAGGGAUGUCGUAAACGCCUUGUGAUCUGGGGUCCAUUUGAGACGGAGGAACGUCGUACACUCCUUGGUUUCUGGCUCCUGGAAACAUCUGACCAGGUGGAAUAUCAUAGACCUGAAACAUAAAAUGUAUUAAGGUUUACAUUUAUAAUUAAAUCACCAGAGACACA